GACGAACGCUGGCGGCGUGCUUAACACAUGCAAGUCGAACGAGUGGCGAAUGGGUGAGUAAUACGUGGGUAACCUGCCUUUCACAGGGGAAUAACACUGGGAAACCAGUGCUAAUACCGCAUAGUGAGAGAUGGCCUCGGGGCUGCUUAGCUAGUAGGUGAGGUAACGGCUCACCUAGGUCAUGAUCAGUAGCCGGACUGAGGGUUGAUCGGCCGCAUGGGUACUGAGACACAGCCCAGACGAGUACGGGAGGCAGCAGUGGGGGAUAUUGGACAAAGGCGAAAGCCUGAUGCGGCGACGCCGCGUGGGGGAUGAGGGCUUUCGGGUUGUAAACCUCUUGCCAUAGAACAGGGUAGGUGGAGAAGAAGCGCCGGCUAACUACGUGCCAGCAGCCGCGGUAAUAC
rnacentral:rRNA from 1 species